GCUAAAAAGCCUGAAUAAAGGAUCAUUUUGAUAGAAUGAAUCAUGUAUAAAUAUACUUUUAGUG
rnacentral:tRNA from 1 species